rnacentral:rRNA from 1 species
UACGAAGGGGGCUAGCGUUGCUCGGAAUCACUGGGCGUAAAGCGCACGUAGGCGGAUCUUUAAGUCGGGGGUGAAAUCCUGGAGCUCAACUCCAGAACUGCCUUCGAUACUGUAGAUCUUGAGUCCGGGAGAGGUGAGUGGAACUGCGAGUGUAGAGGUGAAAUUCGUAGAUAUUCGGAAGAACACCAGUGGCGAAGGCGGCUCACUGGACUGGUAUUGACGCUGAUGUGCGAAAGCUAGGGGAGCAAACGGG